AUUGAACGCUAACGGCGUGCUUAACACAUGCAAGUCGAACGGCAGCACAGUAUGUAGCAAUACAUAUGGGUGGCGAGUGGCGGACGGGUGAGUAAUACGUAGGAAUCUACCUUGUAGUGGGGGAUAACCCGGGGAAACUCGGGCUAAUACCGCAUAAUCUUUACGAAGCAAAGAGGGCCUCUGAAUAUGCUCUUGCUAAAAGAUGAGCCUACGUCGGAUUAGCUAGUUGGUGGGGUAAAGGCCUACCAAGGCGACGAUCCGUAGCUGGUCUGAGAGGAUGAUCAGCCACACUGGGACUGAGACACGGCCCAGACUCCUACGGGAGGCAGCAGUGGGGAAUAUUGGACAAUGGGCGAAAGCCUGAUCCAGCAACGCCGUGUGUGUGAAGAAGGCCUUAGGGUUGUAAAGCACUUUCAGUGGGGAAGAAAAGUUCAAGGCUAAUACCCUUGAAUCUUGACGUUACCCACAGAAGAAGCACUGGCUAACUCUGUGCCAGCCGCCGCCGUAA
rnacentral:rRNA from 1 species